AGUGGCUCAGUUGGUCAAAGCGCUUGUCUAGCAUACAAUAGUUGUGGGUUAAAAUCCCCCCU
rnacentral:tRNA from 1 species